AUGAGGAGACACUGGCGACCUCUCCUGGGGUUUCUGUGGGUUCAGGUUUGCUGGGUGAGAGGGCUGGAGGUGGAGCAGAGCCCUUCAGCCCUGAGCCUCCAGGAGGGAGCCAGCUCUACUCUGAAGUGCAAUUUUUCUAGCACAGUGAACAAUGUGCAGUGGUUCCGACAGAACCCCGGGGGUGGCGGCCUCACCCGGCUGUUUUACAUAAUCUCGGGGAUGAAGCAGAGUGGAAGGCUAAACUGCACAGUGAAUGCUAAGGAACGGUCCAGCACCCUCCACCUCACAGACUCCCAACUGGAAGACACAGCCACCUACCUGUGUGCGGUGGAGGCACAGUGCUCCCUGGUGAUCUGCAGCCUGCACCCAAACUGCAGCUGA